UACGUAGGGUGCGAGCGUUUAAUCGGAAUUACUGGGCGUAAAGCGUGCGCAGGCGGCGCGUUAAGACAGGUGUGAAAGCCCCGAGCUUAACUUGGGAAUUGCGCUUGUGACUGGCGUGCUGGAGUGUGGCAGAGGGAGGUGGAAUUCCACGUGUAGCAGUGAAAUGCGUAGAGAUGUGGAGGAACACCGAUGGCGAAGGCAACCUCCUGGGCCAGCACUGACGCUCGAUGCACGAAAGCGUGGGGAGCAAACAGG
rnacentral:rRNA from 1 species